UCGGAUAUGGUGUAAUGGCUAACAUUGCCGCCUCUCAUACAUGUAGGAUGGAGUACCAACGCGGCAGCUCGGGGUUCGAUUCCCCGUAUCCGAA